rnacentral:lncRNA from 1 species
AGGAACAUGGGGGAGCUGAUCCCACAGGAACAUGGGGGAGCUGAUCCCACAGAUAGGGCCGAGGAGAAACCCCACAAGUAGGAGGGGAACAGAUCCCUCAGACCCCACAGGAAAGGUCUCCUCAGCUGAUCCAGCAGAAGGGGUGAGGAGCAGAUCCUACAAAUCCCACAGGAUGGGUGGGGAGCUGAUCCUACAGGCAGAAGGGGAGCUGAUCCCACAGAUCCUACAGGAAAAAAGAGGAGCUGACCCCACAGACCCCCCCACAGGUAUGAGGGCAGCUGACCCCACAGAUCCCACAGGAGGGAUGAAGAGCUGAACCUACAGGUAUAAGGGGAGCUGACCCCACAGGAAGGGUGAGGACCUGACCCCACAGACCCUACAGGAGGAGGAGCUGAUCCUACAGGCAGAAGGAGAGCAGAUCCCACAGAUCCUACAGGAAAAAGAGGAACUGAGCCCACAGACCCCACAGAUAUGAGGG